rnacentral:rRNA from 1 species
AGCGAACGCUGGCGGCAGGCCUAACACAUGCAAGUCGAACGGAUCCUUCGGGAUUAGUGGCGGACGGGUGAGUAACACGUGGGAACGUGCCCUUUGGUUCGGAACAACUCAGGGAAACUUGAGCUAAUACCGCAUGUGCUCUUCGGGGGAAAGAUUUAUUGCCAUUGGAGCGGGCCUCGUCUGAUUCGCUGGUUGGUGAGGUAACGGCCCACCAAGGAGACGAUCAGUAGCUGGUCGGUGAGGAUGAUCAGCCACACUGGGACUGAGACACGGCCCAGACCCCUACGGGAGGCAGCAGUGGAGAAUCUUGCGCGAUGGGCGAAAGCCUGACGCAGCCAUGCCGCGUAAAUGGUGAAGGUCGUAGGAUUGUAAAAUUCUUUGUGCGGGGACGAUAAUGACGGUACCCGCAGAAGAAGCUCCGGCUAACUACGUG